GGCUCAGAUUGAACGCUGGCGGCAUGCUUUACACAUGCAAGUCGAACGGUAACAGGGAGCUUGCUCCGCUGACGAGUGGCGAACGGGUGAGUAAUGCGUCGGAACGUGCCCAGUCGUGGGGGAUAACGUAGCGAAAGUUACGCUAAUACCGCAUACGAUCUAUGGAUGAAAGCGGGGGACUCGCAAGAGCCUCGCGCGAUUGGAGCGGCCGAUAUCAGAUUAGGUAGUUGGUGGGGUAAAGGCUCACCAAGCCAACGAUCUGUAGCUGGUCUGAGAGGACGACCAGCCACACUGGAACUGGGACACGGUCCAGACUCCUACGGGAGGCAGCAGUGGGGAAUUUUGGACAAUGGACGCAAGUCUGAUCCAGCCAUUCCGCGUGCAGGAUGAAGGCCCUCGGGUUGUAAACUGCUUUUGUACGGAACGAAAAGGUUUCUCUUAAUACGAGGAGCUCAUGACGGUACCGUAAGAAUAAGCACCGGCUAACUACGUG
rnacentral:rRNA from 1 species